rnacentral:misc_RNA from 1 species
GAUGAAGAACGUAGCGAAAUGCGAUAAGUAAUGUGAAUUGCAGAAUUCAGUGAAUCAUCGAAUCUUUGAACGCACAUUGCGCCCCCUGGUAUUCCGGGGGGCAUGCCUGUCUGAGCGUCAUUACAACCCUCAAGCUCAGCUUGGUGUUGGGCCCCGCCGCCCCGGCGGGCCCUAAAGUCAGUGGCGGUGCCGUCCGGCUCCGAGCGUAGUAAUUCUUCUCGCUCUGGAGGUCCGGUCGUGUGCUCGCCAGCAACCCCCAAUUUUUUUCAGGUUGACCUCGGAUCAGGUAGGGAUACCCGCUGAACUUAAGCAUAUCAAUAAGCGGAGGA